GUUUGCACUCUUCCAAAAAAUGAGAUUAAACGCGCAAAAUUUCGAUAGUAGCAGAUUGGUGAAGACCCUGUCAUCCUUUUCGACGCGAAGAUAGAGCGAAGCCGCAUAUGCCUUUUCUGAGGCGUCGCAAAACCCGUGUAUCUCAACUUUGGCUGUCGGUGAAAAGUAUAUCCAACGAGGGAUACGAAUCCUUU